rnacentral:rRNA from 1 species
CACGCCGUAAACUUUGUGAACUAGAUGUGCCCGGGCUGGCCCCGGGCGUGUCCAAGCUAACGCGAUAAGUUCACCGCCUGGGGACUACGGCCGCAAGGCUAAAACUCAAAGGAAUUGACGGGGGCCCGCACAAGCGGUGGAGCAUGUUGCUUAAUUCGAGGCAACGCGAAGAACCUUACCCGGGUUUGACAUGCAAAGGACCGCCGGUGAAAGCCGGCCUCCCUUCGGGGUCUUUGCACAGAUGC